AAUCAAGGAAAGUGGAUCCGCCCUCCCAGCCUCCGCCCUGCCCCUCAGCAGGAGAGCGCUCUGAAAGAAUGGGAGGAUUACCAACUCUCCUUUGGGGCUGGGAUGCAACACAAACAUUUGAUGAUCAAUAGAAGACUUUAUAAAUAAUGAACAGAACUCACAGAAUUGUGCUUGGACUCCUGAUGCCUGGAAAUGCCUGCCAUACUUUGCUUCUCCUCCAGGGCUCAGUCUAGGGUGGCCUGUGCACCUAUGGGACAAUGCAC
rnacentral:lncRNA from 1 species